rnacentral:rRNA from 1 species
GGCAACGAUGGGUAGGGGUCCUGAGAGGGAGAUCCCCCACACUGGUACUGAGACACGGACCAGACUCCUACGGGAGGCAGCAGUGAGGAAUAUUGGUCAAUGGGCGCAAGCCUGAACCAGCCAUGCCGCGUGCAGGAUGAAGCAUCUAUGGUGUGUAAACUGCUUUUGUACGAGAAGAAACACUCCUACGUGUAGGAGCUUGACGGUAUCGUAAGAAUAAGGACCGGCUAACUCCGUGCCAGCAGCCGCGGUAAUACGGAGGGUCCAAGCGUUAUCCGGAAUCAUUGGGUUUAAAGGGUCCGUAGGCGGUUUUGUAAGUCAGUGGUGAAAGCCCAUCGCUCAACGGUGGAACGGCCAUUGAUACUGCAAGACUUGAAUUAUUAGGAAGUAACUAGAAUAUGUAGUGUAGCGGUGAAAUGCUUAGAUAUUACAUGGAAUACCAAUUGCGAAGGCAGGUUACUANUAAUAUAUUGACGCUGAUGGACGAAAGCGUGGGGAGCGAACAGGAUUAGAUACCCUGGUAGUCCACGCCGUAAACGAUGGAUACUAGCUGUUCGGAGCAAUCUGAGUGGCUAAGCGAAAGUGAUAAGUAUCCCACCUGGGGAGUACGUUCGCAAGAAUGAAACUCAAAGGAAUUGAC